rnacentral:sRNA from 1 species
ACUGGCACAUAUGCACUGCUUCAGACACGAGCCCUUUAACAUGGAAUCUGGAAUCUGCCCCGUUGUGGGAGGGGGAGAGGGAGGCAGCCUUGACCUGGGCCCAGGGUACUAGUGGGCGUGGGCUUGCUGCUGACUGGUUGUUCUGUGCUCUCUUCAGCAACCCAAGGAGAUCUGUGCGCUGGUUGGGUUCUGUGAUGAGGUGAAAGAGAUGCCCAUGCAGACUCUGGUCCCCGCCAAAGUGGCCUCCAAGAAUGUCAUCCCUGCCCUGGAACUGGUGGAGCCCAUUAAGAAGCACGAGGUCCCAGCAAAGUCUGAUGUUUACUGUGAGGUGUGUGAAUUCCUGGUGAAGGAAGUGACCAAGCUGAUUGACAACAACAAGACUGAGAAAGAAAUACUCGACGCUUUUGACAAAAUGUGCUCGAAGCUGCCAAAGUCCCUGUCGGAAGAGUGCCAGGAGGUGGUAGACACGUACGGCAGCUCCAUCCUGUCAAUCCUGCUGGAGGAGGUCAGCCCUGAGCUGGUGUGCAGCAUGCUG